AAGAAUUUAUUGCUUUUUUCGUAGUCCUAAAGCCAUGCUUCUUCAAGCAGCUAUUUCUUCUCCAACUUAUUCCUUGCAACGGGCAGGCGCUACUGCUCAUCCCUUGUUGUUGAGCAACAACUCAGCCACCACUGGCACUACUACUGCUAACUUCUUAUCUUCUUCUUCGUUAUCGGCCGACUCUGCAGGCGGCCGCCCAACCAGUGUCGUUUUGCAGACUAAUCGCCAGAAAGGAGGCUUCAGGACCUUUGCUUCAGAUGAAAAGACCAGCACCUUGUCACUCACGGGAGUGGUUUUUCAGCCCUUUGAAGAGAUUAAGAAUGACGAAUUCUUGGUCCCAUUGUCCCCCAGUGUUUCACUUGCCCGUCAGAGAUUCUCCCACGAGUGUGAGGCGGCAAUCAAUGAGCAGAUCAAGUGACUUGCUUCUCCACCUUAUUUACUACCAUGCAUCUUCUCUCUCUUUCUUCUUUCAAAAUAUCUUUCUUUUUUUUUUAAAAAAAAAAAUGUAUUUAAAAGUUUCUUUUUUCGGUCUUUAGUCAUUAUUGUCAUGAAUAUUUCAUCGAUCGAUUCUGGAUCUUGUAGUUAGUUAUGUAUGUUAACAGUUUAAUUAGCUCCUAAUCAACUGCAAAUGUGCCUAUUUUUCUGACCCUUUUUGUUUUGUUUUGUCUUGUCUUGUCUUGUCGUUUUGUCGUUUGAUGUCAGUGCGGAGUACUGUGUGUCCUACGCGUAUCACGCCAUGUAUGCAUACUUCGACAGGGACAAUAUUGCUCUUAAAGGCCUAGCCAAGUAAGUACCAGAUACUCACCCAGGCCUUCUGCUCUCAUAAUGGAAACAAAGGAUUGGCCGAGUUUCUUCGAGGGUGCGGCGGUUUUGCAUGCGGAGGAGGAGGACCCAAUCGCCUGCAUGCGGGUUUUGAGGGUGUCGAUUGGGAACAUUGCCAUGUGCUCCACGGAGCCAGCGACCGAACCAGCGACCAUAAACUGCCAGAAUUGGAGGCCAUCAUGGAUUGGUGGUUGGGAGACGGAGAUAUUUUCUGGACGGAAAUCUGAGGCUGCAGGGUGGAAUUUCGGGGUGCCAUCCGUCUUGGUGGUGGUUGCGGCCAUGUUGGGUCGGGUGUAGGAGUGUUGAGGGGAGCUGUGGUAACUUGGUUGUGUGCUCGACGUUUAAAGGAGGAAGUGAACAAUAAUUGAUAGGGAUGGAUCGCUUUCUGGUUGAAUUGAAAGGGCUUGUCGCCAUGCGAAAGUUCUUCAUGAGAUGAUAGCAAUACUCCCAAUAGCUAAUGGGACUAUUAAAUUUAAGGCCGCAGAGACAUAUAUUCUGGGUGGAAGAGCCUUUUUUUUUUUCUAUUUUCUAAAAAAUCUAGUCACUUUAAUUAUAUACGUGCAAAGGUGAAGAAAAAUAGAUGAUGCAUUAGAAAGAUGAAUCCCGGUGUCUUGGAGUAAAGCUAAUAAUAGCCCUAAACAGAUGGAGAGUAUCAUAAUAAUGGUCCCUAAAUUCAACAAGUGACAAAACACUACUUAAAAUAGUACUACUGGCAUGGCUUCACUUUAGAUUACUACUGUAUUGAUUUAUUAUUGGAAGAAACGGGAGAAUGAUCACAAUGGGUGGUGUUGUUUUGACGAGUAUGGUAGUGAUCUAUGGUCUAUAGAGAUGGAUGGGGAUGGGGGACGGGGGAUGGUGGGGGAGUCAGGAGUGUGUUAUCCACAGGCCAUACUUUUUUGGGUGGAUAAUGGCUUUGUGAAUUGCGACUUUAGGAUUGGAUAUGCUGCACGCUGUCACCCUCGAAAUGGCCAGCUCUCAAGAUAAAAAGGAAAGAAAGAAUAAAAUAAAGGGAUAAUUUCAGAAACCUCCCCUAAGGUUUCUACAGUCUCACUCUCCUCCCUUAUGGUUUCAAAAAUAUCACAAGCCUCCCCUGAGUUUUAGAAUUUUGUAACAAAAUCAGCCCAUGAUGUCAAAAGUGAACAUAAAAAAGUGUUUUCAGAAAAGAGAGGGAAUUUUGUUUUCAUAAAUGCCCCUGAGGUAAGUGUACAAGUUAUAUUAGUGAAAUAAUGAAAACUAAUAAAAACCAAAAAUAAAUUAGAAAAAAGGGAUAAUUUCAGAUACAAUAUGUUAUUCAUCAAUAAUAUUAUAUCAAAAGCUUUUACUAGAUGGUUAUUUAUUCCAAUUGCAUAUUAAAUCAACCAUUAGUGCUUAUGAGAGUGCAUUAAAUAUUUAGCAGAGAGCUAGUUUUCUUCAAUAAGUAGCAUGUACAUAAAUACUUAGUGAAUAUACAAUCUAGUUGAAAUAAUGUACACCGUAUUAUCGACCAAGUACGAUACAUAGAAAUUGUUGAACAUGCAGUUAUUUGUUCACAUGCAUAUUGCAAUUAGUCAUCGCAGCAAUAUGCAAAGUGCAAUAGUAUGUAUAGAUUUGGAAUGGUUAUUGGUGUUUUGACCCACUUGUGCAUCUCCUUACAAGUUGCAGUAUAUAUGUAAUUUUAUUUAUAUGACUAAUACUAAUUUGCCUAUAAACACCUUACACGGGAUGAUUUAUGAGGUACAAUCAGUUUACAAAUAUAUACAUUAUGUUAGAUGUUAGUUAUUUGACUGUGUAUAUUUAUAAAAGGUAGUGUAAUGGUACGCAAAAAUUUAGAAUGGUUAGGUGUUAAAAAAAUUACAUCAUGUUAGGUGUUAAUUAUUUGACUAUGUAUACAUGUAAAAGGGAGAUUAGAUAUAGCGUAGAAAAAAGUAAUUAUGUGAGUUGAAAUGUAUUUGUCAUGAUAAUCACAAAAUAUUAGUUGACUUGUGAGGUAUAUAAGUCUUUUUAGCCAUGAUGAUGUAAGAAAUGGGAUCUAAAUUCUGACAGAGGAGGUUUGUGAUAUUUUUGAAAUCACAAGAGAUGAGAGUGAGACUCUCAGAAACCUCAGGGGAGGUAUCUGAAAUUAUCCCUAAAAUAAAUGCGUAUAGACGCAGCGGAGUAGUAAUUAAAAUAUCUGGAGGAGGAGGAGGAGGAGGAUAAUUUUGGUGGUCUAAGAAAAGAACGCGUGGUGUCCACAAGUACCUUGAGGCAUCUAAACUUCUCUCCAAAAGCAGCAACGUAAACUUCAGUCCUAAAGUGACCCACCCACAUCCGAUCUUACCAUCAUGAUUUGUAGCUUUGACAACCAAAAGUUCAUUGUCCUCAUACUGAAACUGAAUAGUAAUUAGGGGUCCCUCUCCCUCCCUCCCUCCCCUCUUGCUUUUGCCAACACCAAACCACGCUAGCUAGCUACUUGUGUAUCCACACACCAAAGUCUAAUUCAGCCGGCCGCAGUAGUGGUAACUGGUAACUGGUAGUGGAAGUGUUCAUAUCAUCUCACCUUUCUUUCUUUACGCUUAAUGAAGAAGAAUUUACAAAUUGCCUGAGCCAGCCAAUUCACACCUUACCUUACAGCCUGCCUGGGGCAACAUAAAUGACUUCGUCCUGCUGCUAUUGGCAGAUUCCGAUACGGAUUGGUCGAAUCAUAACUAGAGAGCGGAGGGAUCGAUACGAUAUCGAUUUUCAAAUCGCAUAUAUUAUUAUAUCCACGGCGAUUCGCUUUGACUCGAUCGAUAUUGGUCGAUUUGAAUCCGUAAUGCAUGGUAUCGGCUGAUAUAUCGCUUUGACUGAUGUGGAACAAUCGAAACCGCGAUGGCGAACCAUGGCUGCAUACACCAUUCAAUCCUGUAUCGAACUCGUAAAUUCUAAAAGGUAAAAAAAAAAAAAAAAAAAUUCAAUUCUACAGUAAAUAUAUAACAAGCAUUACGUACGCUAAACACCGGCUAGCUGAUGAUGAUUAUUUAACCACAAUAAUUCUAUGAGUUAUGCAAACGUGGAAAUUUUAAUUUUCAAAGACGAUUUUGGUCGAUGGAGAAAGACACUAGUGUAUAGUUUUAGUGCGUAUUUAACAAGGAUAUCAUUCAUCAUGCCAUUUUAGCUAUUACUGCUAGUAUUGCUUAGAGGAGGGUUAAAAACUUCUUUUAAGUAGUAGCAACUCUUAACAGGAUAUAUAUGGUGAUUGCUUAAAGAAGAAGACAGGGUUGAAAUCCGACUUACAGAUUAUUGAAAUAGUUGAAAGAAAAGUAGUUCUGAAAAUUGAAUGGCAUAAUAGACUGCACUGUAUAUUAUUAAGGUAAAAAGAAUAUUAAAAUUUUUUUUUUUUGCUGUUUGAUAAUGUAAGCGAGGUGGAAGUACAGCAGUUUCAUUCAUUCAUUCAUUGCAAAGCUCGGGUUGGGACAAAGAAACAUCAUUAUUAUUGAUGAUGAUGGUAUAUAGAAACAGGAAGAGAAAGGAGGAUUGAUAAUUCCAAGUACGUACUAGUAAAUAACCAACUUCAUUUUAAAAGACAGAUAAGGAGAAUUCUGGUUGAAGAAGAAAAGUUCAUGGCAAAUGUUAAAUCCUAAAAUAUUAUCCAUUAUUACCUUUACCAAAAAAGAAUUUCUUGGAGCAAAAUAAAUUAAAAUUUUUUUUUUGUUUUUUGCCAAACCCCACUGAUCGAUUCAUCCUAGUUGGGUUUCUUCUCCCCGAGUGUUUGUGUCGUGGAUUGGGAUGACACUCAUGAUGAGUAGUCCAUUAAAGCCACUCGGACCUGCUCUGCACCGAUGAUACGACUAAUUUGGAUUCUUGACCCAUGGAUACUCGUGUUAUCGUCAUUACUGACGAUGAUGAAUCUGCGUUCACUAGUGAUAGGGCCGUGAGAUUGCGAAUUUGGGUCUAAUAUUUUCGGAUUGGUCCUAUGAUCCUAUCCGGAGGAGCGUUGGAUGAAUGCGCCCCAAAACCCAACCCAUUUGACACAUCCAGCAAAUAUUUUAGCGUUUUUAGAUUGAAUAUUAUAUUAGUUUUUGGGUAUCAUCUGUUAUUCACUGUGGCGCUAUCUUUUUUUUUUUUUUUUUAACCUAUGUGUGUCUAUAUAUAUAUAUAUAUCAUUUGCAAAUAUUCUAGGGUGGCUCAAAUCACUCUCGUCAAUAUUAUUUUUCCCGUUUCCCCUCCCUCUUUAGUACGUAAAUAGCUGUGGAUAAAGUGCUUUAUUGAUGUAACAACAAAUAGGCUUUAUUUUGAUUGUAUUUUUCUAAAUUUUUUGUAAAAAAAAUACUGUAAUAAUUUACUAUAUAUAAGAUAAAAAGGUGAUGAGAAAAUGUGUUUAUGAAAAACGUAACAAUUUUUCUUGCAAUCCAAACACACCGUAAGGGUCCGUUUGGUAGGGAGUAAAAUAUUUUCUUCGGAAAAAAUCUUCCACUGAAAAUUUUCGACAGGAAAACAGUUUCUUUUCUCUAUUAUUUUCUGGUGUUUGGAUACUUAUUUACAAAAACACCCAAGCCCGUCGUAAUGACUGAGCCCAUGUUACUGUGAUUAACUUAUGCCUCUUUUAGCAUCCUUGUCGGCUCUUCUUCUAUCACCAUCGUCAUCUAUUUUCUCACAUUUACAUCUGCUGAAGAAACCAAAAUCACGCAUAGACAUACUGAUCAUCAUCACCAACCUUAACCCAAAUAUAGACAACUUGAAUAGUCCUUUGGAUCUAGCUUAGUUAAUCUCCAGAGAUUUGAGUUUGUCAAAUUUUUUUGCCUUAGCAUAUAUUUGUGUGUGAGAGAGACAAAUAGAGGACAAUGAAGAGGCUGUAUGUGCGACGUGAUUGCUUGACUUCGAUGUUUCCAUUUCUUUAAGAUAGAGAAAAUAACUUCAGUUUCUUUUUUGCGGAAGUUAUUUUACGCCACCAAGCGUAAAAUCUUUUCCACAAGAAAAUAUUUUCCUAUGUUAUAAUUGAACCAAACACUUGAAAAUUAGGAAAACAUUUUCAUUUUUCAAUCCUAACAAACAGACCCUAAAUGCUUUGAGUCCAUAACUAGGACUCUUGGACCAAUCCUCUACUCCGUCCUUGCUUUCUCGGCUUUGAAAGAGUUUUAGUAGUAUUAGAUGAGUCUUUGACCAGUUCACACAAAAUGUAAUUUUCAACUAUCAGCUUAAAAAAGAAUGAGACCAGCGCGCCAUCACUACUUGGGUUGGUUCUUUUAAUUAAAACUCGCCAUUAAUUAACGCAGUCAAGAUGUAAUCAUGUUGGAAAUUUAGGACCGCAUAUUCCGGGAAAGCUCAUCAUGUCCACACGAUACUAAUUAGUCUAAUUUUGGACAAAGUUUUAUUUUCAACAUUGGCACCUAGACAGAAUCAUUUAUGUGGUGCAAUUUGCUCAACAAUUUGUGUUUAAAAUAUCAGGGGUACCAAGUAAAAUUAUCAAAAACCCCCAUCCCAUCCCAUGCCAGAAGAGGUUUCUCAAAUCAUCGAUUCUUUUUUGCAGUAGGGCGCGACAAUGCCAAGUCUAGUCUUCUUUUAUUUUUAUUUUUUUUUGUCUUUCUGAAACGAUAGGAAUAUAUAAUGCCACAGUCUAGUCCACGUAGUGUGAAAUGAAGAAAAGGUCAUUGGAUUCCCCUCAACAGAAAGUGACAGGUUUCCGGACAUUUCGUCAGAUGCCGCAAACUUUUGGAUCAGGCCACGAGCAUUCCACACGCCCAGUACAACUGGACUACCACGUGUCAGAUACGCUACGGUCGAUUAGGAUCCGUAUCCCAGCUCCUCACUUCCACCUUCUUCCCCGCCACAAUUCACAUGACCCAACACUAUCUAUCCUCUGUGCUGCCGCUCCCCACCAUCCCUCCCCCCCUCGCUCCGCUCUAUAUAAACUCACAAAAAAAAAAGAAGUAUUCAGCACCCAGCUCUAGCAACAUCUAUACAGUUUUUAAUCAUCGAUCCCCUGCUUCAAGAAUUUAUUGCUUUUUUCGUAGUCCUAAAGCCAUGCUUCUUCAAGCAGCUAUUUCUUCUCCAACUUAUUCCUUGCAACGGGCAGGCGCUACUGCUCAUCCCUUGUUGUUGAGCAACAACUCAGCCACCACUGGCACUACUACUGCUAACUUCUUAUCUUCUUCUUCGUUAUCGGCCGACUCUGCAGGCGGCCGCCCAACCAGUGUCGUUUUGCAGACUAAUCGCCAGAAAGGAGGCUUCAGGACCUUUGCUUCAGAUGAAAAGACCAGCACCUUGUCACUCACGGGAGUGGUUUUUCAGCCCUUUGAAGAGAUUAAGAAUGACGAAUUCUUGGUCCCAUUGUCCCCCAGUGUUUCACUUGCCCGUCAGAGAUUCUCCCACGAGUGUGAGGCGGCAAUCAAUGAGCAGAUCAAGUGACUUGCUUCUCCACCUUAUUUACUACCAUGCAUCUUCUCUCUCUUUCUUCUUUCAAAAUAUCUUUCUUUUUUUUUUAAAAAAAAAAAUGUAUUUAAAAGUUUCUUUUUUCGGUCUUUAGUCAUUAUUGUCAUGAAUAUUUCAUCGAUCGAUUCUGGAUCUUGUAGUUAGUUAUGUAUGUUAACAGUUUAAUUAGCUCCUAAUCAACUGCAAAUGUGCCUAUUUUUCUGACCCUUUUUGUUUUGUUUUGUCUUGUCUUGUCUUGUCGUUUUGUCGUUUGAUGUCAGUGCG
rnacentral:lncRNA from 1 species